rfam:[Clostridium] purinilyticum strain DSM 1384 CLPT_2c, whole genome shotgun sequence.
UCCAGUAACGAUGGCGGAGGGGAAACACCUGUACCCAUACCGAACACAGAAGUUAAGCCCUCCAGCGCUGAUGGUACUUAGGCGGAAGCGCCUUGGGAGAGUAGGACGUUGCUGGGU